rnacentral:rRNA from 1 species
UUUCGCAAUGCCCGAAAGGGUGACGAAGCGACGCCGCGUGUGGGAAGAAGGCCUUCGGGUUGUAAACCACUGUCGGGAGUUAGGAAAUGCAGGUGCGUUAAUAGCGCACUUGCUUGACUAAGGCUCCAGAGGAAGCCACGGCUAACUCUGUGCCAGCAGCCGCGGUAAUACAGAGGCGGCAAGCGCUGUUCGGAAUUAUUGGGCGUAAAGAGCACGUAGGCGGCCUUGCAAGUCAGUUGUGAAAGCCUUCCGCUUAACGGAAGAACGGCAUCUGAUACUACAGGGCUUGAGUACGGGAGGGGAGAGUGGAACUUCUGGUGGGGCGGUGAAAUGCGUAGAUAUCAGAAGGAACGCCGGCGGCGAAAGCGACUCUCUGGUCCGAAACUGACGCUGAGUGUGCGAAAGCUAGGGGAGCAAACGGGAUUAGAUACCCCGGUAGUCCUAGCCGUAAACGAUGGGCACUAAGUAGAGGGGUUUU